rnacentral:rRNA from 1 species
UUUGCUUAACAAGGAAAUUGCCAUUGAAACUGUUAGACUUGAGAAUGGACGAGGUAGGCGGAAUUCGUAGUGUAGCGGUGAAAUGCAUAGAUAUUACGAAGAACUCCAAUAGUGUAGACUGCUUACCAGACCAUAUCUGACACUAAGGCACGAAAGUGUGGGUAUCAAACAGGAUUAGAUACCCUGGUAGUCCACACAGUAAACGAUGAAUACUAACUGUUUGCGAUAUACAGCAAGUGGUCGAGCGAAAGCGUUAAGUAUUCCACCUGGGAAGUAUGCCGGCAACGGUGAAACUCAAAGGAAUUGACGGGGGCCCGCACAAGCGGAGGAACAUGUGGUUUAAUUCGAUAAUACGCGAGGAACCUUACCCGGGCUCGAACGAUAUUUGAAUACAUCCGAAAAGAUGUAGCUAGCAAUAGCAAAUACCGAGGUGCUGCAUGGUUGUCGUCAGCUCGUGCCGUGAGGUGUCGACUUAAGUGUCAUAACGAGCGCAACCCUUACCGAUAGUUACCAUCAGAUAAUGCUGGGGACUCUAUUGGGACUGCCACCGUAAGGUGUGAGGAAGGAGAGGAUGACGUCAAAUCAGCACGGCCCUUAUGUCCGGGGCGACACACGUGUUACAAUGGGAGAAACAAAGGGUCGCUACCUGGCAACAGGAUGCUAAUCUCGAAAAUCUCUCUCAGUUCGGAUUGGAGUCUGCAACUCGACUCCAUGAAGCUGGAUUCGCUAGUAAUCGCACAUCAGCCAUGGUGCGGUGAAUACGUUCCCGGGCCUUGUACACACCGCCCGUCAAGCCAUGGAAGCUGGAAGUACCUGAAGUAUGUAACUAAAAGAGCGUCCUAAGUAAAUCAN